rnacentral:tRNA from 1 species
GGCGUUGUGGCGGAGUGGUUAUCGCGAUAGACUAGAAUGACGUCAUUAUGACGUCAUGGGCAUCUAUUUCCUUCGGGAGCGCAAGUUCGAGUCUUGUCAACGUCG